AUGCAAGUCGAGGGGUAACAGAGGUAGCUUGCUACUUGCUGACGACCGGCGCACGGGUGCGUAACGCGUAUAGAAUCUACCUUAUAGUAAAGGAUAGCCCAGAGAAAUUUGGAUUAAUACUUUAUAGUAUCAAAAGACAGCAUUGUUUUAUGAUUAAAGAUUUAUCGCUAUAAGAUGACUAUGCGUUCUAUUAGCUAGUUGGUAUGGUAACGGCAUACCAAGGCUACGAUAGAUAGGGGUCCUGAGAGGGAGAUCCCCCACACUGGUACUGAGACACGGACCAG
rnacentral:rRNA from 1 species